AACGAACGCUGGCGGCAUGCCUAACACAUGCAAGUCGAACGAGACCUUCGUGUCUAGUUGCGCUCGGGUGCGUAACGCGUGGGAACCUUCCCUUAGGUUCGGAAUAACUCCCUGAAAGGGGUGCUAAUACCGGAUAAUGUCUUCGGACCAAAGAUUUAUCGCCUUUGGAUGGGCCCGCGUUGGUUUAGCUAGUUGGUAGGGUAAAAGCCUAUCAAGGCGACGAUCCAUAGCUGGUCUGAGAGGAUGAUCAGCCACACUGGGACUGAGACACGGCCCAGAAUACUACGGGAGGGAGGAGUGGAGGAUAUAGGACAAUGGGCGAAGGGCUGAUCCAGCAAUGCCGGGUGAGUGAUGAAGGCGGUAGGGUUGUAAAGCUCGUUUACACGGGAUGAUAAUGACAGUACCGGGAGAAUAAGCACCGGCUAACUCCGUG
rnacentral:rRNA from 1 species